AGUGAACGCUGGCGGUAGGCCUAACACAUGCAAGUCGAACGGCAGCACAGUAAGAGCUUGCUCUUACGGGUGGCGAGUGGCGGACGGGUGAGGAAUACAUCGGAAUCUACUUUUUCGUGGGGGAUAACGUAGGGAAACUUACGCUAAUACCGCAUACGACCUACGGGUGAAAGCAGGGGAUCUUCGGACCUUGCGCGAUUGAAUGAGCCGAUGUCGGAUUAGCUAGUUGGCGGGGUAAAGGCCCACCAAGGCGACGAUCCGUAGCUGGUCUGAGAGGAUGAUCAGCCACACUGGAACUGAGACACGGUCCAAACUCCUACGGGAGGCAGCAGUAAGGAAUAUUGUGCAAUGGGGGAAACCCUGACGCAGCAACGCCGCGUGGAGGAUGACACUUUUCGGAGCGUAAACUCCUUUUGUUAGGGAAGAAUAAUGACGGUACCUAACGAAUAAGCACCGGCUAACUCCGUG
rnacentral:rRNA from 1 species